rnacentral:rRNA from 1 species
GACGAACGCUGGCGGCGCGCUUAACACAUGCAAGUCGAACGGAAAGGCCUGCUUUCCCUUGUGGAUUGCGGGUACUCGAGUGGCGAACGGGUGAGUAACACGUGAGUGAUCUGCCCCCAACUUGGGUAUAAGCCUGGGAAACUGGGUCUAAUUCCCGAUAGGACUGCAGGGUGGUGCCUGUGGUGGAAAACGAUUUUCUAGUGGUUGGGGAUGAGCUCGCGGCCUAUCAGCUUGUUGGUGGGGUAAUGGCCUACCAAGGCGGCGACGGGUAGCCGGCCUGAGAGGGUGGACGGCCACAUUGGGACUGAGAUACAGCCCAGACUCCUACGGGAGGCAGCAGUGGGGAAUAUUGCACAAUGGGCGGAAGCCUGAUGCAGCGACGCCGCGUGGGGGAUGACGGCCUUCGGGUUGUAAACUCCUUUCGACCGCGAGGAAGCCACCUGGUUGGAAGGGUGGUGACGGUAGUGGUAGAAGAAGCACCGGCUAACUACGUG